rnacentral:rRNA from 1 species
CAAUAGCGUAUAUUAAAGUUGUUGCGGUUAAAAAGCUCGUAGUUGGAUUUCUGUUGGGAACGACCGGUCCGCCCAUUGGGUGUGUAUCUGGCUUGUUCUCGGCAUCUUCUUGGUGAACGUUGCUGCACUUGACUGUGUGGAGCGCUACCCAGGACUUUUACUUUGAGGAAAUUAGAGUGUUUCAAGCAGGCAUAUGCCUUGAAUACAUUAGCAUGGAAUAAUAAGAUAGGACCUCGGUUCUAUUUUGUUGGUUUCUAGAGCUGAGGUAAUGAUUAAUAGGGAUAGUUGGGGGCAUUCGUAUUUAACCGUCAGAGGUGAAAUUCUUGGAUUUGUUAAAGACGGACUACUGCGAAAGCAUUUGCCAAGGAUGUUUUCAUUGA